rnacentral:lncRNA from 1 species
CAGUGGCAUGAUCAUGGCUCAACGCAGCCUUCAACUCCUGGGCUCAAGCAAUCCUCCCACCUCAGUCUUUGAGUAGCUGGGACUACAGGUGUGCACCACCACACCCGGCUAUAUGGUAAGAUUUUUAAAGGAGAUCAUGCGAUUACAGAAUCACAAACUAUAGGCGUAUAAAACAGCUGCCGCAAUGAUGCAAACCUUCAUUUUAAUAACACUCAAGUUGGCAAUAACUGAGCUCUGAGGUGCUACUCAUUCAUUCCUCAGUAGUGAGACAAUGGUAAAGCCCUCAAUUUGCUGCUGCCUCCACUCAACCACAGUGUUAAUAGUUUACAUUUAUUUCAUCUAAACUGAGAGCACCUGAGGUCAGAGGCUACCUUGCAUUCAUUUUCAUAUUGGUCCCAGUUCCUGGUCCACAGUAGGUCCUCAACAAAUGUUUGCUAUUUAUUAAGAAUAUUUUACUCUAUUAGUACAAAUUCUAUACAUACUUAUGUUCCCAAUAUAAUAUAUAUAGCAGUAACUCUGAAAUUUUCUACUUUAAAUUUUUAAUAAAAUAGUUUUAGAUAGAAUCAUAACUUUUACUUCCUUAUUAAACAAUAACCACAGUAUUGUUUAGGUACACAGCAAUGCUCUUAGGGACGGAAAACUAAGAUAUUCAAAGCUACUUGGCCUACAUUACAGGAUGGCAAAUUUUUGUACGUUUAUAACCAGUCAUUCUGUGGUCAUGUCUUAGCCAUUUUGAUUCUAGUAGCAUUGUUCCUGCUGCCCUGUCUCUUGCUACUUUUAAUCUGCUAUCCAAUUUAUGAAACCAGAUAACUAUCUUUAUGAAAUUAGCAACCUUAACACAUAUUCUAAGAUGACAAACACUAGCCUAUACAAUCUAUGGAACAAAGUGCAUUCACUACAUGUCUCAUAUCUUGAUGCCUUUUUAAACUUAAAAGAAUUCUUGAUCCUUUUUUGAUAGGUGGGAAUGCCCAAAGUUUAAUUUUAACCUAAGUGGGAAAAUUUCCACAUUAUAAAGAGAUAAAGGUAGAGCUAUGAGAGCAGUAUGAAAUAGAGAAGUAGUAAAAGCACAGGAAGUAAACAGAAGGAAACGAGAUGAGAAUAAGAAGACAAAGUUGAACGAGUAAGAGAGACUGAGAAGAAAACAAGAGGAAAUGGGUAGAACUAACUAGAGCGAGACAAGAAAAAUAAGACACAGGCUCCAAGAGAAGUGUUAGGGCAGAAUGCCUAGUGCUCUUUUUCACAGCUUGGUGGUUAUCUGGGACCUGAGCAUAAGUUACCUCUCCCAUCACUCUUCUUUGAAAUAAUCUAUCAGUUUAGAAAGUCUCUUUUGCACUGAGAAAUAGUGGCAUGGUUUUAUUUUAAAACUUCAAAGUUAAUUUUUUGGCCGGGCUCAGCGGCUCACGCCUGUAACGCCAGCACUUGGGGAAGCCGAGGUGGUCGGAUCGCUUGAGGUCAGGAGUUUGAGACCAGGCUGGGCAGCCUGGCGAAACGCUGUCUCUACUAAAAAUACAAAAAAAUUAGCUGGGCGUGGUGGUGUAUGUCUGUAAUCCCAGCUACUCAGGAGGCUGAGGUGGAAGAAUUGCUCAAACCCAGGAGGCGGGAGUUGGAGUGAGCCGAGAUGAUCACACCAUUGCACUCCAGCUCAGGCGACAGAGUCAAACUCCAUCUCAAAACAAACAAACAAACAACAACAACAACAAAAAAAUCCCAGAACAAACAAAAAAACUUCAAAGUUUAUUUUUGAAGCAAAAAUACUUACUGUUUCAUAGUAGUCUAUAUUUUCUACAGAGUAUGAAACAAUGAUCUAGGUUUUAGAGGAUCUGUAAACUAGCUCUUGCCUAAAGUCCCUGACAUGUACAAUCUGUUAGAUUGCUGGAUACUUUUUGUGGGGGAGGUAGUUUGAGGUUUUCUCCAGUGUGCUAAUGUUACAGUUAUAACUGACUUACGAAAUAACUGCCUUAACUCUUCUUUUCUUUUACCCUAAAUGAAAUCUUCUUUGUGGUCUGGUUUGACCCUAUAUGUAGUCUCAUUUGACCCUAUAUGUAGUCUCAUUUGACCCUAUAUAUGUAGUGGCGGUAGGAACUAAAACCCUCAGGAAAAGGUGAGUUACUAAUAUUUGUAGUUUAUCUAUCAAACAAUCUAUCAAAUUCCAGACUUUCAGUUCAAAAUGAGACAGCCACGAAACUGACCAAAUGAAACUGCACUUGAUAUUUUUUUCUGUUCCACACCCCGCACUCAUCUGCCUUUACUUACUACCUUUAAUCUGUUGAUAAAAUUGGGAAAAAAACUACAUACUGCUGAAAGCAGAUUAUAAAAAUGAAGUUACCAGCUGGGCGAGGUGGCUCAUGCCUGUAAUCCUAGCACUUUGGGAGGCUGAGGCGGG